GGAGGGUAUAGUUCAGUGGUAGAGUGCAUGCCUAGCAAGCAUGAGGUCCUGGGUUCAAUCCCCAGUACCUCCA
rnacentral:tRNA from 1 species